UUUCUGAGUGUUUGUACCUCACAUAGGAUUCCAGAACACUGCUGCUGGUGUCUGAAUGUUUGUCCCUCAGAUAAGAUUCCAGAACACUGCUGCUGGGUUCUGAGUGUUUGUCCCUCACAUAGGAUUCCAGAACAGUGCUACUGGGUACUGAUUGUUUGUCCCUCACAUAGGAAUCCAGAACUCUGCUACGAGGGUCUGAAUGUC
rnacentral:lncRNA from 1 species